CAUAAAUUUAGUAAAUAUCUACUCAUUUUCAUUUAUAUACUCUUUUUUCUUUUAGAUGAUCAAAUGUGUUUUCAUGGUUACUAUUACCAAUGACCAGUCAGCUAUGAAGUUCCACGGAUGAAGACACAAUGCCAGUCUUCCUUAAUGUAGCAUUUCCUGCCCUACCUGCAGACUGGAGAAACCAUAGCUGCUGGACAAAGAGCUGUGGCCAUCACGGAAGCUGAUAUUCUCCUGACUCAUCAUUUUGAAGACUUAGUUAUAUUUUUACUUAUGUUUCAAGAAGUGGAAGAGAGUAGUGAUUAUGAGUGAGUACAGGUGUCAACAGAGGUCAGAAGAUAUUGCCAAAUCCCUUUGGGGUGAAAUACAGGCAGUUAUGUAGACAUGAUUUCUGAGAACCACAACUAUAGUCUCUGAAAGACUCACCCUUGAGUAAAUCCUUCAGCAAUAUUUUGUUGCUGUGGUUUUGUUUUUUACUCUGGAAAUUUGUUCUGUGUUCUCUUCUCCAUCUGAUUCCUUGUCUUAAGGGUAACCUAACACCACACCUUAAGCAUGUCUGUUUUAUUUCCUUUAAUCAAGUUCUGUCUGUGCCCAGUUAUACAUGGUUCUUUUUGCUUCUAUGUGUGUGUGUGUGUGUGUGUGUGUGUGUGUGUGUGUGUGUUCCUUUCUGUUACUUGAAUGUUGUUAUGUGUAGAAAUUUAAGUCUAGAACGGAAUUUUUCAUCAUACUGAAAACAAUUUCAUUCUCUUCUAUUCGUGUUUCUAGAAUUAUAGACUUUAACUCUCAUACUACUCAUUGUUUUGGAAAUAUGACUUCCUUUACCUCUACGACUUGAAAGAUCUAUUUUAUUUUCCAUAGUGUCGGAUGUGUAUGAGAGUACCAAUAUUCAUGUCUCCCUGUUUGUACUUUUAGGGUUUCUUGAAUAGACUUAUACAAAUCUUUCAGCUGCUACUUCCUCAAAGAUCACGCUCAUCUCCUUUCUUUCUCCUUUUAGAUAUUGGUCAGCUGGUAGGUCUUCUCCAUACCCAUCUUUCUUUUCAACUAUAUGCCAUAGCUCAUUAUGGAGGGUUUGUUAGGUUAAACAUUCAUUUAGUUAAUUUUGCCUUUAUGUCCAAUCUUCAGGUAAAUUAUUUAAAAUUUUUAGUAUAUGUUCUUUAUUUCCCUAGUUUUGUUUUCAUCUAACUUGGGCCAAUUUUGAGCAGUUUUUUGUUAUCUAUGUCUUCUCUAUUUUGUAUUUUAAACAAACAUUGUAUGUACAGUACAUAGUGGCUUCACCUAACUUUGCUCUUGGUGAGAAUGUGUUUCUUGUUUUCCUGAGGGGGACGUAGUCCUUUACCAUGGAAUAGCUCUUUUAUUUGUCCUUGGCAGGUGUAAGGGAAGGCUGUCAGCCUGGCAUCCCUUCAGCAGAAUUUAUGACUGGAAGAUAUUAGAAUAAUCCAAGAGAGUAAAGCCUGUGUUCCUGUAUCAGCUCUGUGCACAUAACACUAGUAAUUAGGGGUCUGAUUUGUUUUGAUUAUCUCAGGUGCACAGCACAUGCUCUGUAGCCUGCAUAUGUUCACUGAGUGGGCAAGAGAGGCAUAAACUUGUGGUUCACCCUGAAGUUGAGGACAAGGCCUUUGGGAUGUAAAGGAAUUCUAUUUGUCUUAUUUAUUCAUUUAUUUAUUACAGUGCACUAUAUCUAGAGUCCUCACAUAUGGCACACAAUAGGUUCAAUCUUUUGUAUCACAACCCUCUCCUAAGAAGAUAGGCCGUGGAUCCAGACUAAUUUCCUUCAGAUCUCAGCUCUUUUACUUACUAGUCUCAUGUCCUGCGGCAAAACUAUGAUCUUUCCCUGCUUUAGCUGGAGGGACCUAAGACUGGAAGCAGGAUAUCUCUCACACAAUUGUGCUGAGUGGGAUGGCACAUGCAAAUCUUGUAGACAGGUUGAGACAUACAAGUAUUCAGUUGCUGUUAGAUGAACUUAACCUUUCACACAAAAUGAUUUCUAGUCAGGUCUGAGAGUUGAAAGAUAUAUUAAGCAAUUCUAAUGAAUCUAAUGUGAUACUUUCAACACUUGAUACAACACAUCUGCAGUGAUAAUUUUAAGAAAGACAUGCCAGAAACACUUAUGGACAAAAGAAAAUCAAUACAAAGAUAGGUGUAUUCUAUAAGGAAAAGUCAUGAACAAAAGGAUGUUAAUAGUCAUUUUGCCAAUGGUUUCUAACAACUGAAGCAGACACAGACACACAACACAGUUCGACAGGCAAACAGACCUUACCAAUCUAGAUGCAGAUGUUUGCAGUCAACCAUCAGACUGUGCACGGGGACCUCAAUGGAGGAGAUAGGGAAAGGACUGAAGGAGCCAAAGGGGUUUGAAAUCCUAUAGGAAGAACAACAAUAUCAACCAACAAAGAUACCCCAGAGCUACCUGGGACUAAACCACCAAUCAAGGAAUACACAUGGAGGGUUCCAUGCCUCCAGCUGCAUAGGUAGCAGAGGAUGGCCUUAUCUGGCAACAAUGUGGGGGGAGGUCCUUGGUUCUGUGAAGGCUUGAUGCCCCAGCAUAGGGGAAUGCUAGGGCAGUGAAGCAGAAGUGGGUUGGUGAGCACCCUCAUAGAAGCAGGGGGGAAAGGGGUAGAAUAGGUGGUUUUUGAAGGGGAAACCAGGAAGGGGGUUUGAAAUGUAAAUAAAUAAAAUAACCAAUAAAAAAAAAAAAAGAAAA